CCUACGGGAGGCAGCAGUGAGGAAUAUUGGUCAAUGGGCGCGAGCCUGAACCAGCCAAGCAGCGUGAAGGAUGACUGUCCUACGGGUUGUAAACUUCUUUUAUAAAGGAAUAAAGUGAGGCACGUGUGCCUUUUUGUAUGUACUUUAUGAACAAGGAUCGGCUAACUCCGUGCCAGCAGCCGCGGUAAUACGGAGGCUCCGAGCGUUAUCCGGAUUUAUUGGGUUUAAAGGGAGCGUAGAUGGUUUGUUAAGUCAGUUGUGAAAGUUUGGGGCUCAACCGUAAAAUUGCAAUUGAUACUGGCAGCCUUGAGUACAGGAGAGGUAGGCGGAAUUCGUGGUGUAGCGGUGAAAUGCUUAGAUAUCGCGAAGAACUCCGAUUGCGAAGGCAGCUUACUAGACUGCCACUGACGUUGAGGCACGAAAGUGUGGGUAUCGAACAGGAUUAGAUACCCGGGUAGUC
rnacentral:rRNA from 1 species